UACGGAGGGGGCUAGCGUUGUUCGGAAUUACUGGGCGUAAAGCGCACGUAGGUGGCUUUGUAAGUUAGAGGUGAAAGCCCGGGGCUCAACUCCGGAAUUGCCUUUAAGACUGCAUCGCUAGAACGUCGGAGAGGUAAGUGGAAUUCCGAGUGUAGAGGUGAAAUUCGUAGAUAUUCGGAAGAACACCAGUGGCGAAGGCGACUUACUGGACGACUGUUGACACUGAG
rnacentral:rRNA from 1 species